rnacentral:rRNA from 1 species
CUUUCUCCGCCGGCGACCGGCGCACGGGUGAGUAACACGUAUGCAACCUGCCCCUGUCAGGGGGACAACCCGCCGAAAGGCGGGCUAAACCCGCGUACAUGCCACCGGGGCAUCCCGGAGGCAGGAAAGGCUUCGGCCGGACAGGGAUGGGCAUGCGGCGCAUUAGGCAGUAGGCGGGGUAACGGCCCACCUAACCGACGAUGCGUAGGGGUUCUGAGAGGAAGGUCCCCCACACUGGUACUGAGACGCGGACCAGACUCCUACGGGAGGCAGCAG